ACUUUUGCACUCUUAUUUUAUCAUUUUCGCACUAAAUUGCUAGAGACUAGCAAUAAGCUAGUUGGGGGGUGUGAUGAGAGCACAAAAGUGCGACCUAUAUGUCACCUAAAUUAGUAUUAUUGCUAACCGAUAAUGAUAAAUUCACUGGAUUAAUAUUAUAUUUGGCACAGAUUUUCAUAAAUUAGAGAUAAAAUACACAUUGAGUACAAAUUUGACUAAAGAAGGAUCCCUUCCUAGAUCCGACCCGGUUGAAGAUCGGGUCGGGUC
rnacentral:lncRNA from 1 species